rnacentral:rRNA from 1 species
UUAGCUCCAAACAGGUGCUCAACGAAGGGAGAGACGGACUCUAGGGGCUAAGCUCUAGGGUCAAGCGAAGAAGAAUUCACUGCCUAUAGUAAGAUCCCCAACUCUGGUUUAACUAUGGAAAGGAGGUAGAAGAGGAAAAACGAAGAUUCUGUGGGUUUGGAAGUGACCAUCUAGUAAAGAGUGUGUAACAACGCCAUCUUCCAACCUUUUCUGCGUCUACAAUAAACGGGUCCUAACCAG